rnacentral:misc_RNA from 1 species
UGAAACCUGUAAAAUAUCAGUCGGUAUUUACAUAACUGGCGUCAUUUAAAACCAUGAACGGUAUGCCUUGAUCUUAUGGUGGUAUCAAAAGUUUCCUUCAUAGGUUUACACAACAGUAAGGUUAUCUUCGGAGGUUCACCAAAUGCUGCCAAUUUACUAAACAUUUUGGUUCAAAGAUAAGGGCAAAUGGAGAAUGAAAAUAAUUUUCAUGCUCCUAUAUCAGCCAAAAAAUUCAAGAUAAGGGCAAUCACCAUGAAUCUUUUUAACAUUGCUUCAUUUUCUCUCUUCUUCUUCUUUUUUGGGUAGGAAAAUGAAAAUUUUUUUCUUUUCUCUUUUCAAUAACAAUAACUAAUAUGAAACUAAAAUUUACUUAUCUUCCUUCUUCACUUCUGGGUUGUUGUUUCUACUCCCUUCUUUCGUAACUAAUGCUGUCUAAUGCAUCUUUAUGGUGCUAUGAUAGGUUAGAGUACUUAAGUGUCUAGCAUAGUGAACUUAUAUAUCAUAAGUGGUCG